CCGGCCGUUAUGGAGGUCUUGUGUUAGCCUCGGAGGAUGUCUGCCACCUGGAGCUGCUGGUAGGGAUGGUGAACGACAUACGGAGGCUAUGAAGACACGCCAGAAAAGUAAACAAUCACGCGACGGAGGACGAGAGCGCGAGUGUAGUGUGUGCAAGAGUAAACGACAACACAAGGUCAGAAGGAAAGGACUGAAGCCUGGCGAACUGCUGACACACUCGCGACCACUGGGACUCCCGUGUGGUCUGGUGGCAGGAUUCGCGGCUCACUCACGAGGGCCGGGCUACAUUCCAGGCACGGGAACCACACGGGAAUAGUGGAGCGGAAGGGAGCAGCAAAAGGAGAAGGAAAGCAGCACUAAGAAAGAUGUCCCCAAAAGGAACUGCCGUAAAUAUUUUUCUUGUCGCCUGUUGCGCCGGUAGGCUUUCUUGAGGAGGCCUUAUAGACGGCCCCAGCCCGUUAGUGGCGCAGGAUAAUUUUAUUUAUGGUGACUUCCGUGAUGUACGACUUCCUUGGCCCAUGCUGCUACCCGGUCUUUCUCUUGACGAAAGCUUCAAGUUAAGGUUGAAGAUCAGGAUAGCAUGUGGGUAAUCUUCCGCCACUCGGCGAUGACUUGGAAAACCAUCGUGCUUCGGUGGAAUUCUACCCUAGUCCACGCCAGGCCCUCGGGCUCACCACACCCGCACGCCUGAGUGAAUUGAACAUCUCCGAAAUAUCCCCAACAAUGCAAUACGUUCCAUACGUAUUCAGAUUCGGAUUCCGAACAAGUCAUUAAUCUUUUUCAUAAAAUAAAACUUGUCCCUAAUGUUUGUUGCUAGGUGAAGAGCCGCACCCCCGCUUGCCUCUCACUAAACACGUGAUAAUGUUUUGUUUCUGCCUAUCUUUCUGUACAUGUUUGCGUGUCUACCUAUAUGAAGAUUUACUCGUGUCGUUCUGCCUUUUGAGUUUAUGUAUGUUUAUCUGCUGACUGCAAAAUUUAUUUGUAUUUAAAUUUGUUUGCAUGUUUACUUUAUGUAUUUGUCCGUAUGUUUGUGAGUUUAUCUCCAAGUGAGUAAUUUCAGUUUGUUUCCCUGUGUAAGCACUUGACGAUAUAUUUCUCAAGUCUGCAUGUGUGCGCGUGUUUAUCUCUUGAACGUGCAGUUCGUAUGCGUGCGAGUCUACGGCAUGUACGCACCUUUGUUUGGUUUCUUAUGUGUAGAAGAGUGCAAAUGAGAACUCUGGAGCCAUUACUUGGUUGUUGGCAGGAACUGUUGUUGGUUGUAGUCCAGUGAACCGAGUCUUCAGUGUGUGUGUGUUAAAAAUACGUUGCGCUAUUGUGAGGGAUUUAGAAUUCAUAAUUGAGGUAUUUAUAUCAAUUAGGUUUAUGUACAUUGAUGAUGAAGGGGCAUGUUGGGGGGGGGGGGGUCCUUCUUCUAUAAUUGGAGUACUCGGAUUGGGGCACUGGCUGUAACUUGAUUCGUUCUAGGAAGGUUAUUUUUAAGCUUAUUCACUUAAGCUGUGUUGCGAUACAUAUGCUUAGUUAGUUGAUUGUUUGGAGGACAGUGAUUUCUGUGAUGUGUGUUUGAUUUGAUCUGGUUCUCUUUGAUUCAGUAUUCAAGAUUUAUGGACGUGGUUCCACCUUGCCUAAUUAAUUUCAGUUUGAACGGUUACAUGCUUUACAGGUUGAAAUCUGUUGAUUAAACAAAUUACAACA